UCGAAUGGGCCUGCAAAAAAGCGCACGCAGCACCGCUCCGCGCUUGGCUCCCCUCUUUCACUCUUCUCUUGGGUUCCCUCCCAUUCCCCCCCCCCCCCCCCCCCCCCCCAAUCCGCCGGUCUCUAUGGCGCCCAAGGUUCUCAUGGUCGCGGAGAAGCCCAGCAUCGCUCUUUCCAUCGCCUCCGCCCUCUCCGGCGGCCGCAUGUCUACAAGAAAAGGAAGCACAGAUGUCCAUGAGUUUGAUGGAACAUUUCAGGGUUCUUAUGCGAACUUCAAAGUGACAUCAGUCAUUGGACAUGUCUUAAGUGUAGAUUUCCCCCCUGCAUAUCAGAACUGGGAAGGAACUGAUCCAAUGGACCUAUUUGAGGCUCCAGUUCUGAGAUCUGAAUGCAACCCAAAGGCUCAUAUACGCAGGCAUCUAGCUCAAGAAGCUCGAGGCUGCACCUAUUUGAUACUUUGGCUGGACUGUGACCGAGAAGGAGAAAACAUAUGCUAUGAAGUUAUCGAUUGCACUGGGAUUCCUGAAAAUGAGGCUGGCAGAAGAAUUUUUCGUGCUAGAUUUUCAUCUGUUACUGAGAAGGACAUAUCGAGCGCCAUGGAUAAUCUUGUUCUGCCAAACAAAGAUGAAUCACUAUCUGUGGAUGCUCGCCAAGAAAUUGACUUAAAGGUUGGAGUAGCAUUUACUCGAUUUCAGACCCGAUAUUUCCAAGGAAAAUAUGGAAACCUUGAUUCAAGAGUGAUUUCGUAUGGUCCAUGCCAAACACCUACACUUGGAUUCUGUGUACAACGCCAUCAGCAAAUCACCACAUUUAAACCAGAGAAAUUCUGGUCCUUGAAAACGUAUAUUAUCAAAGAUAGUGAUGAAAUACAGCUAGAAUGGGACCGGAAGAAACUUUUUGAUUUUGAUGUUACUGUAAUGUUUCAGAAGAUGGUCAUCAGUGAUGGGACUCUAAAAGUAGCAGAUAUAUCUGUGAAGGAAGAAUGCAAAACCCGUCCAUCUGGCCUUAAUACAGUUAAUAUGCUUAAGGUUGCAUCAAGUGCACUUGGUAUUGGGCCUCAGACAGCCAUGCACUUGGCUGAGCGGCUUUACACUCAAGGAUUCAUCAGUUAUCCUCGUACAGAGAGCACUGCAUAUCCGUCAUCAUUUGAUUUUCGAGGUGCACUUGCUGCACUAUUAAAUAAUCCUCUAUGGUCCAAUGAUGUCCGGAAAUUACUGGAUGCUGGUUUUGUUAAGCCUCGUCAAGGUCAUGAUGCUGGGGACCAUCCUCCAAUCACUCCAAUGAGGUCAGCAACAGAAGCAUCUUUGGGAACUGAUGCUUGGAGGCUGUACCAAUACAUAUGCCAGCACUUCAUUGGAACUGUUAGUCCUGAUUGUAGAUAUACAAGGACUGCCAUUGAGUUCACUUCAGGUGGUGAAACAUUCCACUGUGUUGGGUAUCGAGUCACUUCUAAAGGAUUUACAUCUAUCAUGCCAUGGCUGGCUGUCAGCGAGAACAGUCUUCCUGCAUUUAAAAAGGGAGACUCUGUUAGUAUUCAUAAGGCUGACAUAUAUGAGGGAAGCACUACACCACCUGAUUACCUCACUGAAAGUGAAUUGAUUUCCCUCAUGGAGAAGAAUGGCAUAGGUACAGAUGCAUCAAUUCCUGUACAUAUAAACAACAUUUGUGAACGUAAUUAUGUUCAGGUGAAUUCUGGAAGAAGGUUAGUACCAACACCCCUGGGAACUACGUUGAUAAGAGGGUAUCAGUGUAUUGAUGCUGAUCUCUGCUUGCCAGAUAUCAGAAGCUUUAUUGAGCAACAGAUUACUCUAAUUGCAAAAGGAAAAGCUGAUCAUCUUCGAGUUGUUCAACAUGUCAUUCAGCAAUUUAUGAAAAAGUACUCUUACUUUGUGAAAAAGAUUGAAAACAUGGAUGCUCUGUUCGAGGCACAGUUUUCACCUUUGGCAGACUCUGGGCGCCUACUAAGCAAGUGUGGAAAAUGUGGUCGGUAUAUGAAGUACAUUUCCACUCAGCCAAUGAGGUUGUACUGUAUAACUUGUGAGGAUGUCUAUUAUCUUCCUCAGAACGGUUCAAUUAAGCUUUACAAGGAAAUCGUAUGCCCUCUUGAUGGUUUUGAGUUGCUUUUGUUCUCGAUGGUGGGACCUGAUGCAAAAUCUUUCCCACUGUGCCCUUUUUGCUAUAAUUGUCCUCCAUUUGAAGGCAUCGACAAACUCUUUGGUGCUCUCAAGCUCGAUGACACCGGCAAGGUUGGGAAAGGGGCCGGCAUGCCAUGCUUCCUUUGUCCUCACCCGACAUGCAAGCAAUCUAUGAUCACUCAGGGAGUUUGUGCUUGUCCUGAGUGUAGUGGUACCCUGAUUCUUGAUCCAGUUAGUGCACCCAAAUGGCGGCUUUACUGCAACAUGUGUAAUUGCAUUGUAUUGCUCCCACAUGCUGCUCACAGGAUCACCACUACAGAUAAGAAGUGCCUAACAUGUGAAUCUACUAUCAUUGAAGUUGAUUUCAACAAGAAAACCACCCCUCUUCAAGAUGGAGCUACAUUGCAUGAGGGAUGUAUCUUAUGUGAUGAUCUGUUGCAUUCACUCAUUGAAAUGAAGCAUGGUAAGUCAUUCUUUAUUCGGAGAGGGAGAGGAAGAGGCAGAGGGAGAGGUCGGGGCAGAGGAAGCAGCCGGGGUAGAGGAAGACGAGGGAACUCAAGGUAUGAUGAUCCUAAAAUGAGUUUCCGGGAUUUUUGAAGAUUUUGGACAACCAACAUUCGGUCACUACUCACUACUUUUUCCGUAGCCGGUUUUUUCGGACGUUUUCUAGGAUCUGAAGGAACCGCUAUAAUGACCACCACGUGCGUUUCAUUUGAGUUUGGAUUAGGAAGAACAAGGUCUGCUUCUUCGUGACUGCUGCCAAGACUGCCCCGGCUUUGGAACACAGGAAUUUCACAGGAAUUAGUUCAAAAACAUAGGAAAAACACAUGAUUCAGGAAAUUUUGUUUAUUCCAAAGGAGCUGUAAGCCAUGCUUAGGCAGGAAACUGACCAUCAUCUGCAACUUUGUCUUGCGUUCAGUUACCCCCCAGAAUGGAGUCAAUAUAUUACUAGAAAGUGACUUAAGAGUUAAUUGCUGCCCCAUGUCUGUAUUGACACACACUGAAUCUGUAGUUUGAUUUCAAAUUUUUGAUAGAACAAGGAUCAACUCAAUUGUAUUACUCAGUAGUGUUUCUGUAAUACUCAAUCAUUGACAGAAGAGCUCAGGUAGGUGAGAAUUGAGAACUAGCUCAAUAUGACAAAGGCACCAGUCAACAGAUUGAAAGCUCAACAAA